ACGAACGCUGGCGGCAUGCCUAACACAUGCAAGUCGAGCGGCCCUUCGGGGCAGCGGCGGACGGGUGAGUAACGCGUGGGAACGUGCCCUUUGGUACGGAACAACUGAGGGAAACUUAAGCUAAUACCGUAUGUGCCCUACGGGGGAAAGAUUUAUCGCCCUUGGGGCGGCCCGCGUUAGAUUAGCUAGUUGGUAGGGGAAUGGCCUACCAAGGCGACGAUCUAUACCUGGUCUGAGUGGAUGAUCAGCCACACUGGGACUGAGACACGGCCCAGACUCCUACGGGGGGCAGCAGUGGGGAAUCUUGCGCAAUGGGCGAAAGCCUGACGCAGCCAUGCCGCGUGAAUGAUUAAGGUCUUAGGAUUGUAAAAUCCUUUCACCGGUGAAGAUAAUGACUGUAGCCGGAGAAGAAGCCCCGGCUAACUUCGUGCCAGCCGCCGCAGUAAUAC
rnacentral:rRNA from 1 species